rnacentral:rRNA from 1 species
CGAGUUUGAUCAUGGCUCAGAACGAACGCUGGCGGCAGGCCUAACACAUGCAAGUCGAGCGAGGACUUCGGUCCUAGCGGCGGACGGGUGAGUAACGCGUGGGAACGUGCCCUUUGGUACGGAAUAGCCCCGGGAAACUGGGAGUAAUACCGUAUGGUGUCUUCGGACUAAAGAUUUAUCGCCAAAGGAUCGGCCCGCGUUGGAUUAGGUAGUUGGUGGGGUAAUGGCCUACCAAGCCGACGAUCCAUAGCUGGUUUGAGAGGAUGAUCAGCCACACUGGGACUGAGACACGGCCCAGACUCCUACGGGAGGCAGCAGUGGGGAAUCUUAGACAAUGGGGGCAACCCUGAUCUAGCCAUGCCGCGUGAGUGAUGAAGGCCCUAGGGUUGUAAAGCUCUUUCAGUGGGGAAGAUAAUGACUGUACCCACAGAAGAAGCCCCGGCUAACUCCGUG